rnacentral:rRNA from 1 species
CCUACGGGUGACAGCAGUAGGGAAUCUUCCACAAUGGGCGAAAGCCUGAUGGAGCACCGCCGCGUGGGUGAAGAAGGUCUUCGGAUCGUAAAACCCUGUUGUUAGAGAAGAAAGUGCGUGAGAGUAACUGUUCACGUUUCGACGGUAUCUAACCAGAAAGCCACGGCUCACUACGUGCCAGCAGCCGCGGUAAUACGUAGGUGGCAAGCGUUAUCCGGAUUUAUUGGGCGUAACGGGAACGCAGGCGGUCUUUUAAGUCUGAUGUGAAAGCCUUGGGCUUAACCGGAGUAGUGCAUUGGAAACUGGGAGACUAGAGGGCAGAAGAGGAGAGUGGAACUCCAUGUGUAGCGGGGAAAUGCGUAGAUAUAUGGAAGAACACCAGUGGCGAAGGCGGCUCUCUGGUCUGUAACUGACGCUGAGGUUCGAAAGCGUGGGUAGCAAACAGGAUUAGAUACCCCUGUAGUC